AUCCUUUUGUAGUUUAUGAGCAAGAUGAUUGAGUGUUCACACACGGGUGUGAGAUGUGCCACCCUCAAACCUUGUUACGACUUCGGCUUAUUACCCAACUAACC
rfam:Pongo abelii chromosome 5.